rnacentral:rRNA from 1 species
CCUACGGGCGGCAGCAGUGAGGAAUCUUGGUCAAUGGACGAGAGUCUGAACCAGCCAAGUAGCGUGAAUGAUGACUGCCCUAUGGGUUGUACACUUCUUUUAUAUGGGAAUAAAAUGUUCCACGUGUGGGAUUUUGUAUGUACCAUAUUAAUAAGGAUCGGCUAACUCCGUGCCAGCAGCCGCGGUAAUCCGGCGGAUCCGAGCGUUAUCCGGAUUUAUUUGGUUUAAAUGGAGCGUAGGUGGAUUGUUAAGUCAGUUGUGAAAGUUUGCGGCUCAACCGUAAAAUUGCAGUUGAAACUGGCAGUCUUGAGGACAGUAGAGGUGGGCGGAAUUCGUGGUGUAGCGGUGAAAUGCUUAGAUAUCACGAAGAACUCCGAUUGCGAAGGCAGUUCACUGGACUGCAACUGACACUGAGGCUCGAAAGUGUGGGUAUCAAACAGGAUUAGAUACCCGAGUAGUC